GGGGAUGAAAGGAUUUCGACGGGAGCUUUGACCCCGGAUAAGCGAGCAGAGGCGCGAUACCGCUUUAAAAACCGCACUUUUAAAAUUAACUGACAACAAAACAGUUUUACAGGCUGCUUAACGCAGCCCGUCUUUACCGAGAGUACCGCGGCUUGGAUAAAGGCGUCAUCGAACGGUGAACGUGAACGGCCGAUAGCCUUGUACGCCGUCACGGAAUAAAGGGCUGCUUUUUCUUUGAGCCUGCUUUUCGGCGCUUAGAAAAAGGAGAUUCAAAAGAAAAGCUACGCUCGUAGAAAGUCCCCGGAACGGGCUUUCGGACGCGGUUUCGAUUACCGCCAUCUCCACCA
rnacentral:tmRNA from 1 species